rnacentral:rRNA from 1 species
AUACGGGAGGCAGCAGUGGGGAAUAUUGGACAAUGGGCGCAAGCCUGAUCCAGCCAUGCCGCGUGAGUGAAGAAGGCCUUCGGGUUGUAAAGCUCUUUUGUCCGGAAAGAAAAGUCUUCGGUUAAUACCCGGGGAUUCUGACGGUACCGGAAGAAUAAGCACCGGCUAACUUCGUGCCAGCAGCCGCGGUAAUACGAAGGGUGCAAGCGUUACUCGGAAUUACUGGGCGUAAAGCGUGCGUAGGUGGUUCGUUAAGUCUGAUGUGAAAGCCCUGGGCUCAACCUGGGAAUGGCAUUGGAUACUGGCGGUCUAGAGUGCGGUAGAGGGCAGUGGAAUUCCCGGUGUAGCAGUGAAAUGCGUAGAGAUCGGGAGGAACAUCUGUGGCGAAGGCGACUGCCUGGACCAGCACUGACACUGAGGCACGAAAGCGUGGGGAGCAAACAGGAUUAGAUACCCUGGUAU